AAGCAGCCAUCCUUUAAAGAAAGCGUAAUAGCUCACUGGUCAAGCGGUCCGGUGCCGACAAUAUAACGGGGCUAAAACUGUACACCGAAGCAGCGGAUGCACACCUAUGGUGUGCGUGGUAGGAGAGCAUUCUCAAGCAUGUGAAGUCAGACCGAAAGGACUGGUGGAUGUGUGAGAAGAGACCCUGCCGGCAUAAGUAGCGAUAACGGAGGUGAGAACCCUCCGCGCCGAAAGUCUAAGGUUUCCUGAGGAAGGUUAAUCCGCUCAGGGUUAGGCGGUCCCUAAGGUGAGGCCGAAAGGCGUAGCUGAUGGACAUCCGGUUAAUAUUCCGGACCUCCCAUGAUUUCGUUAUACGAAGGGGUGACGCAGAAGGAUACGCAGGACCCUCUAUGGCUAUAGGGUUCGAUGCACGUAAGGUGGUUCGACCAGGCAAAUCCGGGCGAGCAUAACACUGAGGUGCAAAGCAGUAGGCCGAAUGGCCGAAAGCUGCCGAUUCC
rnacentral:rRNA from 1 species